UAUUUAUCAAAUCAAACCCACCCAAAUUUCAGAUUUUUCAUCAAAUCCAACGCAUCCAAAAUCACAAAAUUUAACCAUAACAAUGGCUAUAAAUAGCCAUGAUUUCUCCACCAUUAUCACUCACUCACAACUCCAAUUAAAUUCUCGCCGGAAAACCACCACCUUCGCCGGAAAAAUGCCCCCAAAAAACCCCUUAAAGCUUCCAUAUUUUCGCACCACAACUCUCUCCCCUCUGUUUCGGAUCAGCCACCGCACCGCCCUCGCAGCGCCGCUGCACUGCCGCGCCUCCUGUGCGCCACCACCACACCUACCCACCGACGCCUCCCUCCUCCCUCGCUCGUCCUCUUUCUCUCUCUCGUGCACCUCUCCUUCCUCUGUCGCGCCGCAGCCACUGCUGCUGCACCGAACCACCGUGGUCGACGAAUCUCCGACGGAUCACCACCUUGCUGUCUCUCGGUCGGAGCCCCACCCACUUCCAGUCAAUCUCUCUCCUCUGCUCUGUUUUCGGUCCUGCUCAAUUGAGCAGAGAUUAAACGGAAAGGAUAUUACAGCCUCCCCCGGCUUUCAAGGUUAUUAAGCAGGAAUCCAGGUAUGAGCAUAGCCAUUACAAGUGCGCUGUUAAUAAGGAACAUGUUCAAGGGAAAGUGUGCGGUAUCUGGUGUUGGAGAAAUUAUUAUUAUUAUUUGGGUCGAGUAUUUAUGUAUAGUUAUCAAGGACUAUUUAAGGUUGCAUUAUAUUAGUGGGCCAUAUCCCACAGGCUUAA